UAUCUAAAUAGUUUAUUUAAAAUUUUAAUUUGUGGAAUUAAAGAUAUACAAAAGUAUUUUAGAU
rnacentral:tRNA from 1 species